rnacentral:rRNA from 1 species
AUGAUUGAAAACCUCUUCCCAAUUCUAUCCUGGAACGUGCGGGGACUGAACUCGCCCGCGAGACGAGCUGUUGUUGCUUAAGUUGUCGUUUCCCACCGUCUUGGCAUUCUCUGUCUGCAGGAAACAAAAAUCUCCACCUGGACUGCUGAUUUGGACAGAGUGGUUGGAGGUGCCAAGCUCAGAGAUUGUGUAGUUCUGCCUGCCUUCGACACCAGAGGUGGUGCUGCCAUCUUCUGGGACACUGAUGUAGUGGAGAUCAACUCCCAAGCGAUCGGACAGUAUGCUAUAACAGCUCAGGUCAGCCUCAAAGCAUCGGGUAAAUCGUUCUGGCUGACUACUGUCUACGGGCCGGCUGAUGACGAGAGGAAAGAGGAUUUUCUGACAGAGAUAAGAAGUCUUGCACCUCCAGUUGGACAGCCUUGGCUGAUUAAUGGAGAUUUCAACAUAAUUUAUGAAGCCAGAGACAAAAACAAUGACCGUAUAAACCGCAGAAUCAUAGGCAGAUUUAGAAGUGCCAUUGACUCGGCUGAGCUCAGAGAAAUCAAGUGCAAAAACAGAAGAUUUACUUGGAGCAAUGAAAGGGAGAGGCCAACCCUUGAGAGCAUUGACAAAUUUUUCUGUAACAUCAGUUGGGAAGCGCUUUUUCCCUCGGUCAUCCUGAUGGCCUCUUCUACUGCAUGCUCAGACCACUGCCCUGUCCUCCUAGCGGAUGCCACCUCCCCAAGGAAAAAAGCUAAGUUCCGGUUUGAAUCCUUCUGGCCAAAAUUUCCCCACUUCCACGAGACAGUGGACAGAGCGUGGAACAGACCUGUUAAUCACUCCUGCGCUUUCGUAAGGCUGAAGCAGAAGCUAUUGAGGACAACAAAAAAUCUGAAAAUUUGGAGCAAGUCCCAUUUCAGUGACGCAAGAUUGUAA